rnacentral:tRNA from 1 species
GCUCCGGUAGCUCAGCUGGCAGAGCGCCCGCCUUGUAAGCGGAAGGUCCUCGGUUCGAAUCCGAGCCGGAGCUCCA